GGGACCCUGACUGUAGUUUUCAGGCUGAGAUGCAAUAUUAACAGCCUGAAACACUGCUGAGCUCAGCUGUCAGCUUUUUGCAAAGCCCAAAUCUGCAUCAUCAUCGCAGAAUUUGUCAAUAUCUGUUAAAGCAGCAUUGGAAGUUACACGCUACCAGCUAAACGUGGGAGGGCUCCGUUUCUAAUCCUUUUAAUACAUCAUAUACAAGAGCAGGGUCUCACUUGAUGAGCAUUUUAGCAGGUGAUUUUGAAAUUCAACCAAUACUAAAACCUUAAAGUCUCAAAUCUCAGCAGCAGCAGCAGCCACUUCUCUGGUCAUGGGGGGUGUAUCCCUCCAGUGGUUUGGUUGUGACAUAUCCCACUGAGGGCAUGGCAGCGGUGUUACCACAUGCAGACGAAGCAUCAGUAUGUCAGGUUUUCCUCUGGGCCAAAAGGUUUCAGCAGGUCAGUGGGUGGAGGCUGAAGAUAAAUUCAUCUGUUCUUGGCUGCUGUGGGUAGUGUUAGUCUUUCUUGUGCAGAUUAAAACCUGUACUACAGGUAGACAGUGUGUCAUCUUUGUGGUUGGGUGACAUUCUGGCAAUGAAAGGGUGGUAAAGAAACUUCUUAAAGCCGCCUUGAGGUAUUUUUUAAAGGUUAUUUGAGGCCUGGGCUGUUUUAUUGCAGUAAUUGCACGCCAAUGCGCUGAGCAGCCUCACGUGUUUCAGUGACUGAAUGAAUGAGUCGCAUUCAGAAACAGUGGAAAUGCUGAUACAGUUUAUUACAUUUUGAGAUGCUAUAGGUAAAAGCAACUUGUUAAUUCAUUGUACUUAAAAAAAGUUCUGUUACAGCAAGUGCCAACACAUGUGUGUUGAAUCAUGAUUUGAUUGCAUACAAGCCCUGGAUUAAAGAAAAUAAAAAAACAUAACACUCGA